rnacentral:lncRNA from 1 species
GGCCUUUCAAGACAAACUUGGAUGCAAGGAGAACAAGCGCCCGGCUGGCAGGGCACCUCGGCCUCCUCCUCUCCCCUCGGCCCCAGCGUUUCGAGCAGGCCCUCCUCCUUCGGUCCCCGCAGGGAACCUUCCGGCCUCAAGGACCACUCCCGGCCGGGAGACCGGCAACAGCCGGGGCCGAGGAGGAGGGUUCCUUUGGGAGCCAGGGCUGUCCGGUGAGGCAUCUCGCGCGCGCCCCUCUCUCUCGCACGCACACACACAGAGCCCAUGACAGAGCAGCCCCUGAGACACCCGCCACCCUCGCAGGGGGCCUCGGCGGCCCCUCUGAAGGAGGCAAUUGGGCGGCUGCCCUAAGCACUCCUGAGGGAGGGGGGCUUUUUAGGAUUCAACCUCCCCCACCUCACAGUGCUCCUCAGCCUCCCCCGAAUGUGCCUCACAGUCCCGCCCACACGCGCCCACACCCCUGGCACCAGAACUUUCUUCCCCCUCAGGCGUGGCCCUGCCUACGUCUCCCACAGUGUGGACACACACUGGCCGGCCAGCCAAGAGCCCUGGGCCCGUGCCAGGUCACCCGUGCCCGCUCCCUCCUUGAAGGGCAGAGGUUGCCCUGUGGGCUGCACCUGGGGACAAGGUGGGGGGCAAGGGGCGGAAAAAUACCUGCCCUCCCAAAACCCUGGCAAGGCCUCCCAGCACACAACCCCAUGGCGACACGCCAGGAUUGGCGAAGGCGAGGGGCGGAGGCAACCAGGUGUGCUCUGCACAAGCGACAGCUCCUCCUCAGCGGUCAUCCAGGGAAGAAACGUUCCGUGGGCAGCCCACUGACUGGGCCCCUGCCCGUCCGGGUGGCCAGCCCGUUGUGCUCCGAGACCUACCACCGCCUUCCCCCCCCCCGACCCAAACCAAUGCUGCUGCCCCUUUCCAGCUACCAGCGGGGAACGAGGACAGCAGACGGGGGGGGGACAGCAGCCCCUCUUGCUAGAGCAGCGGGGGGGGGCAAACGAACAAAGGCGAAGAGGGCAAAAGCCUUCCUAUUCCGAAGGAGAGAAGGACCGAUUCAAAUGA